AUGAACGCUGGCGGCGUGCCUAAUACAUGCAAGUCGAGCGAACGGACGAGAAGCUUGCUUCUCUGAUGUUAGCGGCGGACGGGUGAGUAACACGUGGAUAACCUACCUAUAAGACUGGGAUAACUUCGGGAAACUGGAGCUAAUACCGGAUAAUAUUUUGAACCGCAUGAUUCAAAAGUGAAAGACGGUCUUGCUGUCACUUAUAGAUGGAUCCGCGCUGCAUUAGCUAGUUGGUAAGGUAACGGCUUACCAAGGCAACGAUGCAUAGCCGACCUGAGAGGGUGAUCGGCCACACUGGAACUGAGACACGGUCCAGACUCCUACGGGAGGCAGCAGUAGGGAAUCUUCCGCAAUGGGCGAAAGCCUGACGGAGCAACGCCGCGUGAGUGAUGAAGGUCUUCGGAUCGUAAAACUCUGUUAUUAGGGAAGAACAUAUGUGUAAGUAACUGUGCACAUCUUGACGGUACCUAAUCAGAAAGCCACGGCUAACUACGU
rnacentral:rRNA from 1 species